rnacentral:rRNA from 1 species
GGGUUGUGAGGUUAAGCGACUAAGCGUACACGGUGGAUGCCCUGGCAGUCAGAGGCGAUGAAGGACGUGCUAAUCUGCGAUAAGCGUCGGUAAGGUGAUAUGAACCGUUAUAACCGGCGAUUUCCGAAUGGGGAAACCCAGUGUGAUUCGUCACACUAUCAUUAACUGAAUCCAUAGGUUAAUGAGGCGAACCGGGGGAACUGAAACAUCUAAGUACCCCGAGGAAAAGAAAUCAACCGAGAUUCCCCCAGUAGCGGCGAGCGAACGGGGAGCAGCCCAGAGCCUGAAUCAGUGUGUGUGUUAGUGGAAGCGUCUGGAAAGGCGCGCGAUACAGGGUGACAGCCCCGUACACAAAAAUGCACAUACUGUGAGCUCGAUGAGUAGGGCGGGACACGUGGUAUCCUGUCUGAAUAUGGGGGGACCAUCCUCCAAGGCUAAAUACUCCUGACUGACCGAUAGUGAACCAGUACCGUGAGGGAAAGGCGAAAAGAACCCCGGCGAGGGGAGUGAAAAAGAACCUGAAACCGUGUACGUACAAGCAGUGGGAGCACGCUUAGGCGUGUGACUGCGUACCUUUUGUAUAAUGGGUCAGCGACUUAUAUUCUGUAGCAAGGUUAACCGAAUAGGGGAGCCGAAGGGAAACCGAGUCUUAACUGGGCGUUAAGUUGCAGGGUAUAGACCCGAAACCCGGUGAUCUAGCCAUGGGCAGGUUGAAGGUUGGGUAACACUAACUGGAGGACCGAACCGACUAAUGUUGAAAAAUUAGCGGAUGACUUGUGGCUGGGGGUGAAAGGCCAAUCAAACCGGGAGAUAGCUGGUUCUCCCCGAAAGCUAUUUAGGUAGCGCCUCGUGAAUUCAUCUCCGGGGGUAGAGCACUGUUUCGGCAAGGGGGUCAUCCCGACUUACCAACCCGAUGCAAACUGCGAAUACCGGAGAAUGUUAUCACGGGAGACACACGGCGGGUGCUAACGUCCGUCGUGAAGAGGGAAACAACCCAGACCGCCAGCUAAGGUCCCAAAGUCAUGGUUAAGUGGGAAACGAUGUGGGAAGGCCCAGACAGCCAGGAUGUUGGCUUAGAAGCAGCCAUCAUUUAAAGAAAGCGUAAUAGCUCACUGGUCGAGUCGGCCUGCGCGGAAGAUGUAACGGGGCUAAACCAUGCACCGAAGCUGCGGCAGCGACACUAUGUGUUGUUGGGUAGGGGAGCGUUCUGUAAGCCUGUGAAGGUGUACUGUGAGGUAUGCUGGAGGUAUCAGAAGUGCGAAUGCUGACAUAAGUAACGAUAAAGCGGGUGAAAAGCCCGCUCGCCGGAAGACCAAGGGUUCCUGUCCAACGUUAAUCGGGGCAGGGUGAGUCGACCCCUAAGGCGAGGCCGAAAGGCGUAGUCGAUGGGAAACAGGUUAAUAUUCCUGUACUUGGUGUUACUGCGAAGGGGGGACGGAGAAGGCUAUGUUGGCCGGGCGACGGUUGUCCCGGUUUAAGCGUGUAGGCUGGUUUUCCAGGCAAAUCCGGAAAAUCAAGGCUGAGGCGUGAUGACGAGGCACUACGGUGCUGAAGCAACAAAUGCCCUGCUUCCAGGAAAAGCCUCUAAGCAUCAGGUAACAUCAAAUCGUACCCCAAACCGACACAGGUGGUCAGGUAGAGAAUACCAAGGCGCUUGAGAGAACUCGGGUGAAGGAACUAGGCAAAAUGGUGCCGUAACUUCGGGAGAAGGCACGCUGAUAUGUAGGUGAAGCGACUUGCUCGUGGAGCUGAAAUCAGUCGAAGAUACCAGCUGGCUGCAACUGUUUAUUAAAAACACAGCACUGUGCAAACACGAAAGUGGACGUAUACGGUGUGACGCCUGCCCGGUGCCGGAAGGUUAAUUGAUGGGGUCAGCGCAAGCGAAGCUCUUGAUCGAAGCCCCGGUAAACGGCGGCCGUAACUAUAACGGUCCUAAGGUAGCGAAAUUCCUUGUCGGGUAAGUUCCGACCUGCACGAAUGGCGUAAUGAUGGCCAGGCUGUCUCCACCCGAGACUCAGUGAAAUUGAACUCGCUGUGAAGAUGCAGUGUACCCGCGGCAAGACGGAAAGACCCCGUGAACCUUUACUAUAGCUUGACACUGAACAUUGAGCCUUGAUGUGUAGGAUAGGUGGGAGGCUUUGAAGUGUGGACGCCAGUCUGCAUGGAGCCGACCUUGAAAUACCACCCUUUAAUGUUUGAUGUUCUAACGUUGACCCGUAAUCCGGGUUGCGGACAGUGUCUGGUGGGUAGUUUGACUGGGGCGGUCUCCUCCUAAAGAGUAACGGAGGAGCACGAAGGUUGGCUAAUCCUGGUCGGACAUCAGGAGGUUAGUGCAAUGGCAUAAGCCAGCUUGACUGCGAGCGUGACGGCGCGAGCAGGUGCGAAAGCAGGUCAUAGUGAUCCGGUGGUUCUGAAUGGAAGGGCCAUCGCUCAACGGAUAAAAGGUACUCCGGGGAUAACAGGCUGAUACCGCCCAAGAGUUCAUAUCGACGGCGGUGUUUGGCACCUCGAUGUCGGCUCAUCACAUCCUGGGGCUGAAGUAGGUCCCAAGGGUAUGGCUGUUCGCCAUUUAAAGUGGUACGCGAGCUGGGUUUAGAACGUCGUGAGACAGUUCGGUCCCUAUCUGCCGUGGGCGCUGGAGAACUGAGGGGGGCUGCUCCUAGUACGAGAGGACCGGAGUGGACGCAUCACUGGUGUUCGGGUUGUCAUGCCAAUGGCACUGCCCGGUAGCUAAAUGCGGAAGAGAUAAGUGCUGAAAGCAUCUAAGCACGAAACUUGCCCCGAGAUGAGUUCUCCCUGACUCCUUGAGAGUCCUGAAGGAACGUUGAAGACGACGACGUUGAUAGGCCGGGUGUGUAAGCGCAGCGAUGCGUUGAGCUAACCGGUACUAAUGAACCGUGAGGCUUAACCUUACAACGCCGAAGGUGUUU